AACCUGGUUGAUCCUGCCAGUAGUCAUAUGCUUAGCUCAAAGAUUAAGCCAUGCAUGUCUAAGUAUAAACACGUUUGUACUGUGAAACUGCAGAUGGCUCAUUACAACAGUUACAGUUUAUUUGACAAUUGAGCAUUACCGGAUACCCGUAGUAACUCUAGGGCUAAUACGUGACAAAACCUCUCUCGAGGCGUGCAUAUUAGCUUAAAACCAAUUCUGGUUGCAACCAUAAUAUUCUGUCGGAUCGCGUUGACCUCGUCAGCGACAUGUCAUUCAAGUUUCUGACCUAUCAGCUCGUGACGGUAGACUAUUGGCCUACCGUGGCUUUGACGGGUAACGGGGAAUCAGGGUUCGAUUCCGGAGAGGCAGCCUGAGAAACGGCUACCACAUCCACGGAAGGCAGCAGGUGCGCAAAUUACCCAAUCCUGACACAGGGAAGUAGUGACAAGCAAUAACGAUGAUCAGCUUACAGUUGAAAUUCGGAAUGAGAACAAUGUAAAAGCCUUAUCGACCACCAAGUGGAGGGCAAGCCUGGUGCCAGCAGCCGCGUAAUACCAGCUCCACUAGCGUAUACUAAAGUUGCUGCUGUUAAAACGCUCGUAGUUGGAUAUCAGUCCGGGAGGGGCACGGGCUCCGCCGCGCGUAUGCCGCUCAGUCUCGAUCCCUGGCUCCCGCCCGGCCCCCCUGACUUAAUUCAGAGCUGCCCAUCUGCUCGGUCAAACGGGUCGGGCGGGCGUGUUCUGAUCUAUUACUUUGAGAAAAUUAAAGUGCUCAAAGCAGGCAGGCGCCUGAAUGCAUUAGCAUGGAAUAAUAAAACACGACUUUGGCAGUUAGUUUUGUUGGUUUUUGGGCCGGAGUAAUGAUUGAUAGAAACAAUUGGGGGUGCUAGUAUCGCCAGGCCAGAGGUAAAAUCCUUUGAUUCUGGUGAGACUACCUUAUGCGAAAGCAUUCACCAAGCGUGUUUUCUUUAAUCAAGAACUAGAGCCGGGGGAUCGAAGACGAUCAGAUACCGUCGUAGUCCCAGCCAUAAACGAUGUCGACUAAGCAUUGGGCAAUCAGACUUCCUCAGCGCUUUGUGAGAAAUCAAAGUUUUCGGACUCAGGGGGAGUAUGCUCGCAAGAGUGAAAUUUAAAGGAAUUGACGGAAGGGCACCACCAGUUGUGGACUGGGCGGCUCAAUUUGACUCAACACGGGAAAACUUACCAGGUCCAGACAUAGUCAGGAUUGACAGAUUGAAGUUCUUUCAUGAUUCUAUGAAUAGUGGUGCAUGGCCGUUCUUAGUUGGUGGAGUGAUUUGUCUGGUUAAUUCCGAUAACGAACGAGACCUCAGCCGUCUAACUAGCUGUCGCUAGCGAUGUACUGCUAGCGCUUGUUCGCAAGAUCAGCUUCUUAGAGGGACAAUCUGUGCUCAGCAGAUGGAAGCUUGAGGCUAUAACAGGUCAGUGAUGCCCUUAGAAGGUCUGGGCUGCACGCGCGCUACAAUGACCCAGUCAGCGGGCCGACCCGAGCCUGAGAAGGCGAGGUAAUCCCCAAACUGGGUCCAAGUUGGGAUAGAUGAUUGCAAUUAUUCAUCUUGAACAAGGAAUAUCUAGUAAACGCAAGUCAUCAACUUGCAUUGAUUACGUCCCUGCCCUUUGUACACACCGCCCGUCGCUCCUACCGAUUGAAUAAUCAGAUGAACUGAGUGGAUGGGCGUAGUCCUUUACGCCCCCAAAGCUCCGUGAAUCUUAUUAUUUAGAGGAAGGAAAAGUCGUAACAAGGUUACCGUAGGUGAACCUGCAGAAGGAUCAA
rnacentral:rRNA from 15 species